rnacentral:rRNA from 1 species
CGCCUCUUGACAAAAUAUAAGAGGUCUAGCCUGCCCAGUGACUCUGUUUAACGGCCGCGGUAUCCUAACCGUGCGAAGGUAGCGUAAUCACUUGUUCUUUAAAUGAGGACUAGUAUGAAUGGCAUCACGAGGGUUAUACUGUCUCCUUUUUCUAAUCAGUGAAACUAAUCUUCCCGUGAAGAAGCGGGAAUAAGACUAUAAGACGAGAAGACCCUAUGGAGCUUUAAACAAAAUAACAAUUGCUUCUUUAUUUAAAAAUUCCAGAAAUUUAAGUAUUAUUCUAGCACUAUGAUUAUCAGUUUUAGGUUGGGGUGACCGCGGAGUAAAAAUUAACCUCCACAUUGAAAGGAUAUUUUCCUUAGCAAAAAGCUACAACUUUAUGCAUCAAUAAAUUGACAUUAAUUGACCCAAUAUUUUGAUCAACGAACCAAGUUACCCUAGGGAUAACAGCGCAAUCCACUUCAAGAGCUCCUAUCGACAAGUGGGUUUACGACCUCGAUGUUGGAUCAGGGUAUCCCAGUGGUGCAGCCGCUACUAAAGGUUC